GCACUCCGACCCUAGCAAAUGCAUCCAGGUUUUCCACAGUGCCUCUGUCCUUUCCAUUCCCCACAUUGUGUAUGGUUGGUGCUGGCAGUUCACAGCAGUGACUGAGACUUUGACUGAAUCUCCCCAGGGCCCUGUCAGGUAAUCCCAGCCUUAAUACAUCUCCAGAUCCAUACUGUAUCCAAUAGAAGUAGAAGUCUCCAAUCAAGAUAUUAAACAACAGAAAAAGGAAAGCAAAUACUGUCUGCAAUUUUCACACUUAAGACAUGAUUAAUAGCUUAAUCACUGGCCAACUGUUGGGCUGUAGAUGGUUGUUUAUUCCUCUUCCUGAGAACACAUUGGAAGACUCUGCAAGUGUGCUGGUUUGGACAGCUUACUUAAGGUCAAUCUUUGGAAUCCCACCAAAAAGGGCAAACCGAGAGGAAAGAGAAGAAGAGAGAGAGACAGAAAUUUAAAGACAGAUAUAGUUCACUAUUCCUGGAUUCAGCAUUGUCAGGAGUCUGGGAUGUUCAUCUGUGGAUGUUGGGUCAGUGAAGUUUUUAAUGAGUACCAAAUGCAUCCCUGUAUCCUGAUGAUGCUGAGCAGCUUCCUUUAAACUUGAGUAUCCUGGCACACUUGGUAAAUGAUGGCAAAGAGCUCCACAGCUUAAAUACACACUGAAUAAAGACUGAUAUAUAGCAACUUGUGAUGUUUAACGUCCUUCAGAUACCUGCAAGCUUUCUUGGAACCAGCCUGCUUUCUCGGAAAAUCCCAAUGGUAUUUGAUGGAAGCCUUUUCUUCAGUAAAUAUAUGAAGAUC